rnacentral:rRNA from 1 species
GAUCUGGCUCAGGAUGAACGCUAGCUACAGGCUUAACACAUGCAAGUCGAGGGGCAGCAUGGUCUUAGCUUGCUAAGGCCGAUGGCGACCGGCGCACGGGUGAGUAACACGUAUCCAACCUGCCGUCUACUCGUUGGACAGCCUUCUGAAAGGAAGAUUAAUACAAGAUGGCAUCAGUGAGUUCACAUGUUCACAUGAUUAAACGGUAUUCCGGUAGACGAUGGGG